AAUAGUACUCCUGCUCAGUAUGAGAGGAACUGCAAGUUCAGAGCCCUGCUCCGGGCACUUGGCUGAGGAGCCACUGGUGUGAGGCUCCAUCUGUGGGUGUAUGACUGCAUGCCUCUAAGCCAAAAUCCUGCCGAGACA
rnacentral:ncRNA from 1 species